rnacentral:rRNA from 1 species
UGGGGAAUAUUGCGCAAUGGGGGAAACCCUGACGCAGCGACGCCGCGUGUGGGAUGAAGGUCUUCGGAUUGUAAACCACUGUCGCGAGGGACGAAGCUCUGACGGUACCUCGAAAGGAAGCACCGGCUAACUCUGUGCCAGCAGCCGCGGUAAUACAGAGGGUGCGAGCGUUGUCCGGAAUCACUGGGCGUAAAGGGCGCGUAGGUUGCCUGAUAAGUAGGGGGUGAAAUCUCGAGGCUCAACUUCGAGGCUGCCUCCUAAACUGCCAGGCUUGAGCAGAGUAGAGGCAGGUGGAAUUCCCGGUGUAGCGGUGGAAUGCGUAGAGAUCGGGAAGAACAUCGGUGGCGAAGGCGGCCUGCUGGGCUCUUGCUGACACUGAGGCGCGACAGCGUGGGGAGCAAACAGGAUUAGAUACCCACGUAGUCCCUGAGCGGGCUGGCAAGGCGCAU